rnacentral:rRNA from 1 species
UACGUAGGGUGCAAGCGUUGUCCGGAAUUAUUGGGCGUAAAGAGCUCGUAGGCGGUUUGUCGCGUCUGCUGUGAAAACCCGAGGCUCAACCUCGGGCCUGCAGUGGGUACGGGCAGACUAGAGUGCGGUAGGGGAGAUUGGAAUUCCUGGUGUAGCGGUGGAAUGCGCAGAUAUCAGGAGGAACACCGAUGGCGAAGGCAGAUCUCUGGGCCGUAACUGACGCUGAGGCACGAAGGCCAGGGGAGCAAACGGG